rnacentral:rRNA from 1 species
CAGCCGCCACGGGAAUACGUAGGGUGCAAGAGUUAACCGGAAUUACUGGGCGUAAAGCGUGCGCAGGCGGUUUGUUAAGACAGAUGUGAAAUCCCCGGGCUCAACCUGGGAACUGCAUUUGUGACUGGCAAGCUAGAGUAUGACAGAGGGGGGUGGAAUUCCGCGUGUAGCAGUGAAAUGCGUAGAUAUGCGGAGGAACACCGAUGGCGAAGGCAGCCCCCUGGGCCAAUACUGACGCUCAUGCACGAAAGCGUGGGGAGCAAACAGGAUUAGAUACCCCUGUAGUCCCUGUCUCUUAUAA